UGGCCCGGACCAGACUUUUGGUCUCAGCGCACAAGGACGAAAUAUAGGGGGUUGCCUGCGUUCGGCUUCAUACAACUUAGUUUCACCUUUCAGCAUUUCACUGUUCUGAUAAAGCAGUUUCCCAUCACUAACUAAUGGGAUCUCAAUGCCUAAAAAUGUAUCCUGCAAGAGCUUAAGUCUUACUGUGAGUCAGUGGAAUAUAAAUUCCUAAGUACUGAAGUCACUGCAAGAGAAUCCACUUGUAGUCCAACUCAUUUGGGUAGUAGUGAAUUUUUUUUUGCAUGAGUGCAAACUGGAGGACCAGCACUAAAGAAUAAUCUAGAAGCUUUAGUUCCUGUGUUUCUCUUUGGUCUGUACCAAAGUGAUGAGAUUUGCCCAGUGUUGGUUUGCCUUGAAUGAGUUCAUUCAGGAACUAGGUAGAUUUUUUGAAGGCCCUCUCUCCUUUCUUCUUUUCAAGGUCUGAUUUUGAACUUGGAGUAUUUCAAGACUUUAACAUGAACGUGACUAGAUCUACUUAACCAUUUUUUCACUUAACAAGAAAUCAGUAGCCUGUUUAAGGCUUGGAGAAAAGAAGGACCAGCUGUUUGUUAGUGGAAAUACACAUAACUCUCCUGCCUGCAGUAUAUUUUGCAGAUGGAAGUGAUAUGUCCUGCAAAUAAAAGGAACUGAUUUCUUUUGGAUGGGAUUUGGACAAUGAUUGAAAGUGUGAAAGAAGAGUAAUAUGACCUUGGGUUUACUUCUGAGGAAUGCAUUGAAUAGAUAAUCCAUGCUUUAACCCUACUGAUGCUAGCCAAAAAUUUGAUGUGCAAGUCUACACAGAACAGCCUGGAAAAGAAUAGCACAGGCAACACAGGUCCAUCUGGAAGGCCAUAAUGCCUCUGAUGGCCGUGAUGCCAUCAUCCUCGCUGCUGAUGCUGGUGGUACCAUCAGUGUGGAUUUCAGAGAAAGCAAGCUGAGGUUUAUGAAAAUUCUUGAGACUUUGGAGUUUCCUCGCCCCCGCCAGAAUCUGUUGGGUUUGCGGAUAUAAGCAGGGAGAAAAGACUGAUGGAGAGAAUGGAUGCAGUAUUAUGUGACUGACUCAAGUCUGUAGCAUUAACUGCUACUCAGAUUGGGAGCAGGAAUAUGUCUCCUGGAUUCUUGAUGUCUGUUUAAGCCUCUGUGCUAGGAUGCCUCGCUAUUAUGCUUUUAAAGGACAGAUGGUAAUGAGGUCCAAAACAAACUAUUGUUGCUCAAUAUUCUCAAAGAAAAGAUGAAGAAAAUAGAGUACUUCAGUAAUAUCAGCUUUUAGUCAAGAAACAUGCACCUACACCCAUGUAUUAUGCUAGGUAUGUAAUGAAAAAAAAAAAAAGAAACUUCAUUAUAUAAUUGAACUCUUACCAACUAUGUCAUAAUAUUUUGAGUGAUUUUUUUUAUUGUUUUCAUUUCUUAAAGACUAGCUUUCAUUGUUACUUAAGCCAAAUGAUGAUGUAGGCAAUGGAUGUGUGGUCUAGUGUGACAAUUUUCAGUUCUAUGUUUAAUUUACUCUGUUGUAAUAGCACUCAGCUCUUCUCUUACCUAUUUAUUUAACAGAAAUUCAGGAACAUGGAGAAGCAGAGUUCAUUAGCAGACGGGCCCCUCAGUGCUGCUGGGUCUCAGGUU
ensembl:lncRNA